rnacentral:rRNA from 1 species
UACAGAGGUCCCAAGCGUUGUUCGGAUUCACUGGGCGUAAAGGGUGCGUAGGCGGUCGGGUAAGUCUGAUGUGAAAUCUCACAGCUUAACUGUGAAACUGCAUUGGAUACUAUUCGGCUUGAGAGUUGGAGGGGGGACUGGAAUUCUUGGUGUAGCAGUGAAAUGCGUAGAUAUCAAGAGGAACACCAGCGGCGAAGGCGAGUCCCUGGACAACUUCUGACGCUGAGGCACGAAAGCUAGGGGAGCAAACAGG